UUGCUCGAGGGAAUAAAAGGAGUCCCUUACAUGAAGAUCCAUCCCUUUGCUUGGUCAGCAAUCCUUCUUGACAUUAUGCUUUGUUGACCACUCAGGGAUGGAACAAUU